GACAUCAUUGCUGCUGCCUUUCUUUGAGGCCUGGACAUUUUGAGUAUGGAGAGUGACGUUUCUUGCAGUAAUCUGACCAAAAACAACUGUGAUUUUGAAAAAAAACCCAGAAGGAGCCACUAUGUGGAGAAAGUGAGGGGUGAACAGUUUCAUACCUGUGGAGGAGCAGGGAGUGAAGACCACAAGGCUGGCUUGGGGAUUCUACAACAACAAACAACAACAACAACAACAACAUUUUAAAAGAAAACUUACCAGCGAAUCUGGUGGCCUCUGGGACCUAGGCAUGCAAGUGGCCAGUGCGCACAUGUGGCAGCCUUCAAAAUGGCCACUGCGAGCAGGGAGAGGGCCUUAAAAGCCCCCAAACGGCCUGAAAUGGCCUUAAAAGGAUCGGGUGGGGGGAGCAGGAACCGUUGGAGACCCCCUGUGGCUGCGGAAGCACCCAGCACAGGUGGAGAAGGGGACUGGGAGCCUGAAAAUUGAGUUUUCCAAAAAAGAGGUCACCAUGGGACCAAAGAUGGCCAACCUCAGUUUAUGAGUGUUAAGGGAUAAGCGCAGGAACUGUAAGUAUAAGAGAGACACCAGCCUUGCUGGGCUGGUCAUCCAGGAGGUAACUGCAUCUUUGGAAUGGAGACACAAGUGUUUAUGCAAUGGGAAGGGCACGUCUCCCCUCAUGUUUCAUUCCUUUUGCUAUGUAAACAGGGUUGAGGGGAACUGGUCUUGUGGUAGCAAGCAACAUGAUGUCCCCUUAGCUAAGCAGGGUCUGCCCUGGUUGCAUAUGAAUGGGAGACUAGAAGUGUGAGCACUGUAAGAUAUUCCCCUCAGGGGAUGGAGCCGCCACUCUGGGAAGAGCAGAAGGUUCCAAGUUCCCUCCCUGGCAGCAUCUCCAAGAUAGGGCUGAGAGAGAUUCCUGCCUGCAGGCUGCAACCUUGGAGAAGCCGCUGCCAGUCUGUGUAGACAAUACUGAGCUGGAUGGACCAAUGGUCUGACUCAGUAUAUGGCAGCUUCCUCCUGUGUUCCUAUGUUCUAUGAUCCUAUGACUUUUGUUGUUCAAAAGCAGAUUGUUGUUUGCCUACAAGAUGCACAGUUCUAAAUGUCUCUGUCAGAACCUGUGGCGCCACUACUGCAAACCCAGGAACAGUGAUGCUGCUGUAAAGGACUGGCAGUCACAAUACCAGUCUUACCACAGUUUUUCCUCACUCGCAACAAUGGAAAGAAGUAUAAUUAUUCUGCUGGUGCUACUGCUGGUUCUCUACAGUGGUGCUGCUGCUUCCAGGCCUGUAGCAAUAGCGCUGCAAGUUCUAACGGAGACUUUAGAUCUGAGCAUCAUGUUGGCCAACAAUGAUAAUGAUAGUGUUUCUCUUUUGUUGGGCUGUGCAUCUUUGUGUUGCCCUUCCCUGCAAUUCAGCUCUUCUCUUUCUUAAAUAAACUUGGUUUUCCUUAAUUGACAACCACUGGGUACAAAAACAUGCUGCGUGAUUGGGCGGGGGAUUGAGAUACAUGAAGAGCUGUAGCUAUAACUGAGCGGAUGGGUUCAAAGAACCCCCAGCUUCUGAAGGCCCCCCAGAUCCACCCCUCCCUAUUUUCUUCAUUAUCUCCCUCACUCUGAGGGCCCCCAGGGAUAGGGGCGAACAUGGUCCACCUCGCCCCUAGCUGCUCCCCUGAGUACAUGGAGCAAUGUUUCAGCGCUGACUCUAUGGAGGCAGCUGUCCUUUCACUGAUGUUUCUUCCGUACCUCUAAGGGUUGUGGGUUUAGGGUAGGCGUGGCUACAGUUAUCCCGAAAUAGAGGCAAGGCUGGUCUAAGUUUGCAAAGAGGUUGGUUGCAGCUCAAGGGGACUGAGGUCAGAGUCCUGAUGAUCAGGGAGGAGCAAAUGGGAACCUGCUUGCCGCUAUUUGAGUGAGCAGUGGGGACAGCCAGCAUCUGGGGUAGCAGAGAGAUUCAUGGCCUCAAGUCAAGAGCUUGCAUGGUUCAUGGGAAAGCAAGACCGUGGAUAGGGGUGGGUAACCAGUGGAAUCUGAAACCAGAGGGAGCAGGAAGGGAAGAGGGAGAGGGGGAGAGACUGUAUUUCCACCCAGUAGAGGAGGCCAAGGACCUCCAGAGCCCUAUCCAACUGUAAUGCAUGUAAAGAAAGCUUAUUGGGGAAUACUGAUCACAACACAGGAGGGAGUUCUACUCUACACCUUCCCAAAUCGAAGGUGGCUUCUCUGGAAAAAGUGAUCCAUCAGGACAGCAGCAACACCGCAACAGGAAGGACAAGCAGAUCUCACCGUGGGGGCAAGAAAAGGUGCAAGACUCCUAGACAGAGAGAUACUGAGCCCUUUCUCGUGAGCAGCGAGAAAGGGCAAGAGAGUGAGCAGGGAGGGAACCUUAAAAAGCUUACCUCCCUGCAGACGAUCAAGGGCUCCCUCUUCGGCCGACCAUUACCGGCUGCUGCUGGUAGCUUGGGAGUCGGAUUGUCAGGACACGUUAACCCACCCGCAGUGUUCCCACAACGCUCCAUGCAAGGUACAGUGCAUUAUGGGGAUCGCCCCUCCCCAGGACUGGCCGGGAUCCCUGCCAUCUGCCCGCUGUGGCUGCAAGCAGCCAAGGCUGGCAGACGACCACAGAAAUGGGGUUAGGAGAGCGCUCACUCUCCUUACCUUGUUUUAGAGGGUGGCUCCAGAGCCGCGUUUGCUGCCAAGGUGCCGUUGGGAUUGGGCCCGAUCCCAGAAGUACACAUGCGCAGGCAAAACUGGGCUGGGCUUCCUUAGCCCAGUUUUGCUUUCGUGUGUGAAUAACUUCACUGGCUAGCAUCCAGCUGUUGUCCUGUCCAUGCUUAGGACAUGUAGCAUAAUCACACUCAUUUCUGACCUGGCAGCCAUGCACUCUCGGACUCCUGCCUGGCAUCCUCACUUCUCCAUCCAAUCUACACACAGUUCUUAGCCAUGUCUAAACCUCUGGGGCUCUCUCUUUCCAAACUCCGUUUCUCUCUGCUUCCUGGGCACCUUCGGGCUAGAGUCCCAUUCUCCUAGCACCAGUAGCCAAGCUGUUUAACAAACCAGUCCGUAGCUGCAGUUCCCAGCACACCCCCUUUCUCUGGCAUGAUCGAUGGCCACUGCCUCUGGCCAGUUUCCAGUCUCUGUGGAGCUGGAACAACAUGUUUCCUAGACGGCCAUAAACCCAGAGGGAUCAGCCCAGUUGCCUCCUCUGCACUGAUUCACUUGGCAGGCCAGAAAGAGAAGAGAUCUGUGAGACUCACCUCCCCCCUACCUCAGACUGUCUGCACCUUAUGUCCCUGCCUUUAUGCCACCUAGGUGCUCAGGUGCUGCUGGCUAUGCUGUCCCGGGAGGGACAGAAGAGCCCUCUAACUGGGUUUUCUUUUUCCUUACGCCAGAACUGGAAGCUGUGAACCCAAACACAAAUCCUUACCUGUCAGUCCUCAGCUUUCCCCUCUAUCAAAGUCAGGAGUGAGUUUCUUCUCCUCAAAGUUAUCCCGAGGUAUUCCUGGGGAAGGGAUACUUAUUUCAGUAAAAAAAACAGCUUCAUAAACUUGACUCAGUAUAAAGUAACUUCAUAUGCUCCAUUGUUCCCUACUUGAUUGGUUCAAGGGAGAGUUAUACACUUUACUUUCUUACUCUCUACCUUUAUAUCCCUCUCUUCCUCCAAGAAGCCUAGAGCAGUAUACAUGGUUCUGUUUAUCCUCACAACAACAACCCUGGGAGGUCAGUUAGGCUGAGAAGUAAGUGACUG